rfam:Asian citrus Psyllid, Diaphorina citri - Florida Strain, whole genome shotgun sequence.
AAGAACACGUUGAAGUCGUUGAAUACACCAGUUUCCAAUAUAUCACUGAAGCUACGCAACGUUGAGCGUGGUUGGUAUCCGGAUGGGUGACCAUGUGGACAAUCACGUACUGGCUUUUC